GCGAUUUAAAAAAAAGAAAGGAAAUAAUGCGUGGGAUACGCAGAAAUCUGACGCACAGGUGAUGGUCAUUCGAAAAGGUAUUUAAACGCGCAGAAAGGGAAAGCUGAUUCUGUCACAAACAGAGAAUUUUAUAUAGCGACACUUUACGUUUGUCCCAAAACAGUGAACUUGGUCCUUGUUUUUCGAUCAGAAUACUAACUCAAAAGCAAAGAUUUCAAAUCAUGGACACAUGUUCUUUCAGCAUUGGCAAGCAAUGACUGAACCCAACGAUCUUUAUCGAGAAUGUUUCCCAGAGUGCACCGCAGAGAACAAACUGACAAUAUAAAUGCAGCAAUGCAGGAGGCAAUACGAAUAUCCAUAGAUUGACACUAUAACUUCAGCAAGGCAGGAUACCGUACAAAUAUUCACGUCUUCUACGGAAUUCGAACGCGGGAAAACAACGCUACUGCAGCCAGCUCUUCAACCACCAUCGAGACAGUGCAAAAUGUAUAUUUAUAAAUAAUAUUUUUACGGAGAAUGAUUUGUUCAAAAUUGAGCGGUUCUCACUUUUUCAGAUGAAUAAGGACUUCACCAUGUUAUUCGCAUCAUCCAACAUAGUUUUGCCAUUAGAAUUACCGAUAAAAUGGGUUCUGCUAUAUAACUAUCAUUAUAUAGAUUAUAUUAAGUGCUAUACAAUUCUAGUUACAUACACUACUCUAAAACUAUAGUCGUUAUAUUUUCUUUUUGAAUUUUUAAACAAUACGUCUAAAAUAAUUUAUGUAUCAUUGUCCAGACUAUUUUAAAUGAAAUAAGCAAUAAAACAGCUCUUUGAAAAUGGCUUUUAAAAAGACUAUUCAAAGCUAAAACUAAUAUUAAGAGGAGAAAGGAGGGAAAGCUAAAUUUUCUAGAACAAACAUGUACUGUGAAACACUAUUAAUGGUUUAAAUACGAUUAUUAAAAGUAUCAAUAAUAAUGCUAUUAAAAUGAGCUUAAAGAAGCUAUAAAUAAGUAAAAUAACAUUAACUUAAGUAGAAACUAAUUGAAAGAAAUAUAAAAUUAAGUAACACAAUCUAUGUCUGUAUAAGUGUAAAAUGAUAUACGCUCUUCAAGUGCAAAUUUACACAGAAUAACCAUAAAAAUCAUGAUCAUUAUUCUUAGCAAAGAACAAAUGAACUAUCGCAUUGUAUCGGAGAGAAAAAGAUGUCUAAAAAACUUUAAAAACAUGAUCACUUUGUGAUGAUCUCUUUUCUCAUUACCCUUAGAAUUCUGGCUUUCUUUUAAUGACAAUAAAAAUAAGUUUCACUGGCAAUGUUUACGCAUUUUCUUCUCGGUAAACCUAGAAAUAUUUCAGUUCUCCAUUGGAAGAAAAGAAAAUUACAGAUAAACAACAGAUAACAGCUACGUGGUAAAAAGAAGAAGGCCUAAACUUCGGCACAUUAUCAUACCAUGCUCUGUUUCAAACGAGAGAACAACCUGUAAGUAUUGUCAGCGCUCUUGAACCUUUACUGUUUUUUUCUUUCUUAAAUAUUGUUCGUUCUUAGAAAGAAAAAAUGGUAGCAAAGGUAAAGGAACUGAGCAUAAAAAUUGCAUAAUAUGUGAGACAGUGCAUGAAGGUAGUUGAUCCAAAAGAUGACAUUUUAUUUUCACAACUAUUGAGACUAGUCUAACUGGAAUAUGUCAUCAUAUGUGCAUCGUUCCGUUUCACAUUCAGCAGCUAUGAUUCGAGAAGGUAUUAAUCUCUGUAUUUUGAAUGAAAUGACUUAUUGUUCGAUGAUGGCAAAAUCUUCAGAACUCAAUUGUAUUACGCUAAGUUUGAAACAAUGCUCUUAUAGGAGACAACUGGAUAGUCAAAGCUGUAGAAAUUUUCCAGCAAAAUCAAAUGAAAUGCUUAAUGACUUAUAAAACAAAUAAAUAUUUCGCUUCAUUUCCACAGCUUACCAAGUAAGAGCGUCACAUCUGAAACACAGUCUUACCUGAGUGACUGGAAUUUUUUAUUAAAUCAACGAUUUUUAUUUAUCAUUCCUAAGUAAACUAAAACUUAUAUUAUGCCAAAAAAGUAAAAUACUCCAUUAUUUUACUUUACAUACAGAUGUUUGGUAUUCUACAUUUGAAUUUUUUUUUAAUGUAUUUUUACAUUUAGAUAAAAAUGCAGUAUAUUUUACCCUUUUUUUCUAUUAAGUAAACAAGAAUAAAUUGCAAACAGUUCUAUUGACCUCCACUCAGCCGAAAACACAAUACUCGACAAGACGGACAAGGUCAGUUCUUUCAGUGGACACAAAAACUAAUAUAAAUCUUAAGAAUCAAGUUUUGCAUUUUAAAACAAAAGUCGACCUCAAGGUCGUUUUAAAAAUCUGUUAAAAUCGAGUUGCAAUUCACUGAAUCAAUAAUAUACAACUCAUUAUAUUGUUCACAUACUGGAUAAUUAGAUUAAAUGCAAAUGCAAGGGUAUGUUUGUAUCUUUCAAAACUAAAAUGUGAUGUGCACUUUACCAACCAUCAUUGCUACUCAUAAUUCAAAAUAAAUAAAAAAAUCCCUUGCUUACUCAUACCUUGCAUAAAAAUUGCUUACGCAUUGCUGUUAUUUGACUUCAUUGUUACAAUGUAAAUCUGAAUAAAUAUAUACUCUGCAAAA